rnacentral:rRNA from 1 species
UACAUGGGGUGCAAACGUUGCUCGGAAUUCUUGGGCGUAAAGCGCGCGUAGGCGGUUACUUAAGUCGGAUGUGAAAGCCCUCGGCUUAACUGAGGAAGUGCACCCGAAACUGAGUAGCUAGAGUACGAAAGAGGGUCGCGGAAUUCCCGGUGUAGAGGUGAAAUUCGUAGAUAUCUAAAGGAACACCAAUGGCGAAGGCAGCUUACUGGGCUCUAUCUGACGCUGAGAUGCGAAAGCGUGGGGAGCGACAGGG